UGGCUCAGGAUGAACGCUAGCGGGAGGCCUAAUACAUGCAAGUCGAGCGGUAGAGUGACUUCGGUUGCUUGAGAGCGGCGAACGGGUGAGUAACGCGUACACAAUCUACCUUUAAGAGGGGAAUAGCCCUGGGAAACUGGGAUUAAUGCCCCAUGGCAUCACGAGACGGCAUCGUUUUGUGAUUAAAGCUGUGGUGCUUAGAGAUGAGUGUGCGUCUGAUUAGCUAGUUGGUGCGGUAACGGCGCACCAAGGCGACGAUCAGUAGGGGGCGUGAGAGCGUGGACCCCCACACGGGUACUGAGACACGGACCCGACUCCUACGGGAGGCAGCAGUAAGGAAUAUUGGUCAAUGGAGGAAACUCUGAACCAGCCAUCCCGCGUGCAGGAAGAAUGCCCUAUGGGUUGUAAACUGCUUUUAUCUGGGAAGAAAAGUCGGGAUUUAUCCUGAUCUGACGGUACCAGAGGAAUAAGCACCGGCUAACUCCGUG
rnacentral:rRNA from 1 species